CGUGGCAUGAUGCCACCUAGCAGAUGACUUACUGAUGGUCUGUCUCCCCUAAUAAAACGCCAGCUCCGUGAAUGCGGGGACUUCUGCCUGUCUUGUUCGCUGGUGGGUCCUCGUGCCUGGAACAGAGCCUGGCGUGGUAGAUGCUCCGUAAAGCGCAGUGGAUGUGGGGCUGAUGGAAGCUCGGUUGUGGACGAGAGGAACGAUGAGCUUUCAACUUUCGAGCGUUCGGGAGACUGUUGCCUUGACAAGAGUAGGUUGUUGUGAAAAUGGAGGAGUCAGAGAAGAAGGAGUCAUUCUCGAAAGUGACAAAUAUGAGUACCUCUGAAAAGUUGGGGCACCGUCUAGAAGUCGUUUUUGAUUAGAAGUUGACCUCAGAAGUAUGCGCGCAUCAUUUUGAAAACAUCUGCCGGCACCACAGAAACCGACUCCGAAUGAGAAAGGACAGCGUGGACCACGUCCAGGACCAGCGCCUUCCCACACGGCGCUCGGGGGUAUCGCUGGCCUGGACCAAGGCUGGGAUGUUGUCCCCGGCAUGCGCCCGGAUCCCCGUAGUGACCUGGGGCCAGCUGGGGGUGAUGAGAGUGUCCCCAUCGAGGUCGUCAUCGCCCAGGACACUGGCUAAUGUUAUCGAGUCCUUAUUAUGGUCCAUGCGGAUCACAGGGAGUCAUCCAUCCUCGGCGCUUCCCGUCGGGCGGGAGUCUACAGGCUGAGUGGCAUUGUCAGACGCGGAGGCUGAAGUCCUGAGUCGAGGCGUCAGCGGGGCCAGGCUCCCUCCAAAGGCUCUAUCGACGGAGGAAUCUUUCAUCACCUUUUUUUUUCUAGCUUCUGGUGGCUUCAGAUGUCCCUUGGCUUGUCACAGCAGAACCCCAGUCUCUGCCUCCAUCUUCGUGUGGCCUUCUUUGUGUCUGUGCCUUUCCCUCCUCUCAUAAGGACCCUUGUCACUGGAUCUCCCCCCACCCCCAGUAAUCCAGGAUGAGCUCAUCUUGAGAUUAUUAACUUCAUUACAUCCCCAUGGACGCUUUUUCCAGAUAAGGUGCCAUCUCACAGGUUCCGGGAGGACAUCGGGAUCGGGGGCAGGUGCCAUUCAACCUGCUCCACAGAAAGGCCCAUUUCCCUCCAGGGGGUGGGCGCUUGCUGAGAAUAGGAGCUGUACGUCUUCAUUCAUUCAUUCAUUCAUUCAUUCCACACAUGUUGAGGGACCUCCCCUUCCACGUGCCGGGCACGCUGCUGGGGAUACGGAAGCCAGGCAGACAGAUCCCGUUCCUGCCCACACGGAUCUGCCUUUGCACUGGGGGCGGCAGACCCAACCAGAACAGAGCCCCACACACACCCCCGCCCCCCACCCCUGCCGCUGCAGGUGGAGCUGCAAAGGAAGCCAAGGAGGGGCUAGACCAGCAGCACUGGGGGCAGGUGGAGCAGAGCAGCUCCAGCUGGGGUGGGGGCUCAGGGAAGGCUUCUCAGAAGAGGGGACACUGAAGCUGGACCCUGGAUGCUGAGAAGGACCAGGUUGGGGCCUCUCUCUCACUUCUUGGCCAUGCAACCUUGGCCAGUGGCUUCAUCCCUCUGCGCCUCGCUUUCAUAGCCUAUAAAACAGGGACAGCAGCCACACAACCGCCUAGAACCAUCAUCCUGAGGUCUCAGUGAGUGAACCUACGGGGAGCCUUCACACCUGCAGAGUUCCUGGGACUCGCUGAAUAGGCAGGAGCGAAUCCUCCGAAAAGAAUCCUUAAAUGUUAACAUUAUUGGCGCAUGGGCAGAGCCAUGCACCCAAACAUUUUGUUCAUAAUUUGAGGGAUAUUUAUUUUAAAAAACCAAACGAGGCCCAGAGGUCGUCACCACGCAAAACUCUGCGCCUUCCACCUUCCUCAUUUUACAGCUUAAUGUGAGGCUUGUUUGAAUCAGGUUUGGGGCCUGGGGCACCGUGUUUUUUGGGGGGGUUUAGGGCUUUAUGGUCUUCACCCAGGCUGGGCAGAAGUACCUGUGGAUGUUGGCUGCCACUUGGGGCAGAGCAAGUUGGAUCCUUGGGACCGGCCAGUGGAGCCAGGGGUCCCCUACGUCAUGCUGACUCCGGGGAUGGACAGAGGUCAGGCUAAAGGUUGUUCUGGGGUGAGAAGGGGAGGAGGGGCAGAGAAGCAGAGGAGCUGCAGGAGGUCCCCCCCACCUGGGCUCUGGGAUCCCGCCCUCUAGGGGGCAGUAGGGCUCCACGGAGAGCCUGGCUCCAGCUCCCAGGGGCCUCCUCUUCACCUUAGAAUGCGCCCCAGGAUUCAGCAUCAGGGAAAUUUCUGCCCAAACUUUGCCUUGGCUGGGCCGGGAGGAUGUAUCUGUUCCGACUCGGAUGUGUGGGGGGAAAUGCUCAUUAGGAAGGAAAGGAUUUAGUGUCUCGGAAACGUGAAUGUUUCUAAAGAGGGACGCCUGACAGCUGUGCCCACUUAGGGGGCACCGUGGGCUCCCCGCCCGGCCACCUGACCGUGGAAGGAAGUUGGAUUCCUGAGGCUCACAAUAGCCACAGGCGAAGGCAUGGGUUCAUGGCCAGAUUCAGGGGUGUAGACCCUCAAAACAAAUCUCCGUGAUCGGUUCUCCCCACGCAUCUGAGGAGGCACCUGCUUCUCCUCCUCUCUUCUGGGGGAACGGGGAUAGCCUCCAGUGUAGCACUGUGACCCCAAAGAUCUGAGAUUCAGGGGUCACACCCCCUGUGGCCUCGUGGUCCCCUCUGGGGGGAGGGGCAGCCUGAUGCGUACAUGUGCCUGAGGCACACAGACCUGGGUUCAGAUCUUAACUCUGCCACUUCCUGAUGUGUGCUCAUCAGCAGGGGGCCUUUCUGAGCCCCCAGCCUCACCUGAAAAACAGGGGAGUCCUACCUCGCAGGGUGGCUGCCCUUCCUGGCCGUGGUUCCAGUGACACGAUUCGUGUGGUCCAGGCACAUGCUGAGGACUCGCCAUCCCACCGCCUGCCGCCCUCCCUGCUCCGUCCCCCGCCUACUCCAGCGCCUCCCCUAACCUGCCCCCCCCCACUUACUCCAUCCCUUCUGCGCCUUCUGUUUACAGUCUGUCUCCUGCUGGAACGUGAGCUCUCCCCCGCUGUAGCCAGGACACACAUUCAACACCAGGAAAUCCUGUCCAGGGCUCUCUUAUCCAGUUCAGUCCCAAUAAAUCUUGGGGCUUGCUCACAUGAAUGGAGGGGGUUCUUAGCCAGUUAUCCAGGCCUCAGUUUCCCCGGCUGUGUGCUGAGGCUGCCGGGAUGAGAAGUCUCCAGGAGGCUUUGGGGCAGGUGAGCACACAGGUGUGCGAGCACCUGGCCCAGGCACUCGCCAAGGCAGGUUCACUUCCACCAUCUUUGGGUUUCCAGGGUUUUCCACGGCAUUAUGGUACAUCAGGAGCAUCGCCACCCGCCGGCCCCCGAGGCCAGCUCAGGGCUACAGGCCACCGGCCACCUUCCAUACAGACUCAACUAGUGAGGCCUGAGUGAGGUCUCUGCACCAGACACUCUCACACUGGCUCCUUCCACACACCGGUGGUGUGUGUGUGCGGAGGGGCAGGUCAGGGAGGAGGCCCCUGAGGCUCAGAGAAGUGGGUCCCUUGCCUGUGUAAGUGACACGUGGAACCUAGGACUGCCCCCACUAUUCUGCAUGCAGCACCAGGGAAGGAGGUGGCCUAUGAUGGGUGACAGAGCCCCCCCCCCAUGGUGGCCAAGGGCAAGGGCUCCUGUGGCACAUGGGUGGAGGUGGGCCUGAGUCCCAGUUUGGCAGUUUUCCCACCGAGUGGCCUCUGGCAGGUGACUUCAUGCCUCUGAUACCCCUUUCCUGUCAGUUGGGGUGAUGGGGGCCCCCCAGCUGUGGUGAGAACGUAACUAGCCCAGGGACACACAUCAUUAUGUGCUGAGUUCAGAGCUGAGCAAAGGAGGUGAGGAAAGCAGGUAACUGCCCCCCAAAGAUGGGCAGGCCCUGCUCCCCAGCCCCUGUGCGUGGACAUUACAAGGCACGGGGGGAGGGGGGAUUAAGGCUACCAAUGAAAUGAAGCUCACUGAGCAGCUGACCUUAUGAUGCUGAGACCAGAACUGGGGGAUCCAGGUGGGUCCAGUGGAACCACAGGGAAGUGGAAGAGGGAGCAGCAAGAAAGGCUGGACCUGCCACGGCUGGUUCUGAAGGCGGAGGAGGGGGCUGGGAGCCAGUGAAGGCAGAGUGGCCACCAGAAGCUGGAAGAGGCAGGCACACCCUCGAGCCUCCAGAAGGAACACAGCCCUACCAAUGCCCCGAUGGUAGCCCAGGGACCUCUGACCUCCUGACUGUAAGAUGGUGACUCUUGUUGUCUUAAGGCACAAGUCGGUGGCAGUUGGUUAAUGCAGUGACAGGACGCUCACACAGGACGGCUGAGUGACGGCAGCCUCUCAGGAGCAGGACUUGGCAGGAUGAGGCUCGGCCUCAGACCUGCUGACAGUGGGUUAAAGCUUGUAGAACUUUACAAACAGGAGGAGAUCCUUGAGAUCAUCCGGUUUAGCCUUUCAGAGCAGGACGUCCCCGGAUUGGUCCCGAGUGCUGUCCCACGCAAAAUGGCCCAUGGGUGGGGACAUGCUGUGUGGGGACGGUCCACCUUUCAAACAGUCACAGCACCCUUUUCUCUCUUAGAAGCUCCGAGAAGCUCUGCAGCAAAAUGCAAGACAGGCUUUCUAAUGUCAACUCAGCACUUGUGCCAAAAAACCUAUUUCCCCUAAUGUCACCCCCCCUCCCCGCCCCUGUAACAUCGACCAACAAGUCACAGAGCCUGUGUUCUCUGGAUGGGCUGAUCUAGACAAGUCGAUUCACGAGACAAAUGGAGAAAUUGAAGCCCAGUGAGGUGAAAGUACCUUGGAAAAGCCCGGCGGUUUGGAGGGGAAUAUAGGCUUCGGAGUCAAGGACACCAGGGUUUGCAGCCUGUCUUUGCUGCACCGGCCUCGGGGUCGUGGGGAAGCCACGUCACCUCUCAGAGCCUGAUUCCUGUGGAGAAAAUGCAGGUGAUAAGAGUGGCUGCUUUGCACGGGCCCACGACGGGCAGUGUCCAUCCAUUUGAGCUGCUGUAACCAAGUGCCCUGGACUGGGGGACUUGUAAUCACCAGAACCUUCUUCCUUCCAGUGUCAGAGGCUAGGAGUCUGAGCCCAGGGUCUGCAGAGAGCCCUCUCUCCUUGUUUCCUCAUGGGGUGGAAGGAGAGCUUUCGGCACCCCAACACUCGCAGGCCAUCACCCCGGGCCGUGCAGCUGGCAUCUCCGAAAAGCAUCUCCGAAGCCAGAGUUCCAGAGAGAACCGAUUGCACAAUGUAUCCAUUCAUUCAUCAAAGACGGGCGUGCCUGCCACACGCCUGGCUCUUCUUGGCGCUGUGAGCACAGCUGUGGACUAGACAGACUGUGCCCUGCCCUCCAGGAGCUGAUCUUCUCAUGGGGACAAAGAACAGUCGUGGGAAAGAUCAUGCCAUAGGCCCUAGACGAAAAACGAGACACUGGGGUCUGGAGAAGGAGGGUGGCAGAAGGGUGCCCAGUACGCCAUAUGGGCUGGGAGGGGAGGGCAGUGCAGCUAAAUCCUGGGGUUCUAGGUGUGGCAACAGGGUAGAUGGUGAUGUCAUCUUGUGAGACGGCUUCAUGGGAGGAGAACGAUGCUUUGCAGGUCUGGGGCCAUGUGAUGAGCUCCGUUGGGUGUCAGGGUGAGGGAAGACCUGGCUGGAGCCAACGCACCUGGGCGUUGUUCGUCUCAGGAUGGGAAUCAAAGGAACAAGGUCCCGGUGGAUGAGAAGACACAGAGUCCUGGGGCGGAUGCCUGGGGAGCCUCCACUUGGGCUGUGGAGGGAGGACGAGGGGCUGGUGGGUGGAAGGAGGGAGACAGGUGCACAGGUGUCCAGAAAACCAAGGGCAAGGGCACAGGCUCACAAGGCGGAGGGAACCCAACAGAGCUGAGAAGCCCAGGAAGGAGAGAAUCCAGAAGAAUCCAUUUGGUUCAGCCGGGGGAGGGCCCUGGUGGCUCCAUGGGCCCUGGUUUUGGCGGUAGGCUGGGGGCAGAGGUAGAGGGGUGGGC